GCUUGGCUAGCUCAGUCGGUAGAGCGCACGACUCUUAAUCGUGUGGUCGGGGGUUCGACGCCCCCCGUCGAGCG
rfam:Dictyostelium lacteum strain TK GLQOFTK02G2F2O, whole genome shotgun sequence.